UACGUAGGGGGCUAGCGUUGUCCGGAAUCAUUGGGCGUAAAGCGCGCGUAGGCGGUUAUCUAAGUCGGAUGUGAAAGCCCUCGGCUUAACUGAGGAAGUGCACCCGAAACUGGAUAGCUAGAGUACGAAAGAGGGUCGCGGAAUUCCCGGUGUAGAGGUGAAAUUCGUAGAUAUCGGGAGGAACACCGGUGGCGAAGGCGGCGACCUGGGUCGAGACUGACGCUGAGGCGCGAAAGCGUGGGGAGCAAACAGG
rnacentral:rRNA from 1 species